AUUUUUUUUCCCUUGGUAAGAACUGGCAUUUCAAAAGAGAAAAGAACCAUGAUCAGUGCUCACAGAUAUUUAAUUUACACUUCAAAGGGUCACCUAUUUGUAUGGCAUUUCGUACGUACAAGAAGGUGAUGGACCUUUCUAAAAACAAUUCCUUGAUGGGUUUCCAGCUGAGGACCAUUGGCACCAGCACUAUUGAGUUCAAU
rnacentral:misc_RNA from 1 species